UUUAUACUCCCUCCGUCCGAAAAUACUUGUCGGAGGAAUGGAUGUAUCUAGACGUAUUUUAGUUCUAGAUACAUUCAUUUUUAUGCAUUUCUCCGACAAGUAUUUUCGGACGGAGGGAGUAUUUG
rnacentral:pre_miRNA from 1 species